GUCUGUGUGACCAACGGAUUGUGGCAGAGGGGAGGUGUGUAAUUUCCAGAUUAAGUUACAGAAGACAUUACUGUCCUCAUCUUGAGCCCUCUGUUUGUCUCUCUUGCUCUUUCUCUGAGUUCCUGUUCAGAAGAAGGCCAGAUUCUUUGUCAUGAACAGUCCUAUGAAAAAGGCCACAUGAUAAGCAGCAAAAGUCCUUGACCAACAGCCAGCAGGGAACAGAGGCCUCUCCCAACAGCUACACAAGUGAGCUUGGAAGACUCUCCUGUGCCAAUCCAGCCGUUAGGUGACUGCAACCUGGCCAAUAGCAUAGCUGCAACCUCAUGAUGGACUCUGAGACAUAACCUCCCAGCUUAGCAGCUCUCGGAUCCCUGACCCUCAGAAAUAGAUACGGAUGGUGUGCUGUGGAUAAGUGUUCGUUGUGUUGCACUGCUCAAUCUUGGGUAAUUUGCUAUGCAGCAAUAGAUAAUAAAUAUAAAGACUUAGAUUUUAACCUGCAUUAUUUAUGACAGUGUGGCAUUGAUGUAAGAAUUGACAGGCAGAUCAGUGAAACACAAUGAAGUCCUGAAAUAGACCCCACAUAUAUGCUUAUUUGGGUUUGACUAAAGCAGAAAAAUAAUUCAAUGAGGAAAGGAUAGUCUUUUCAAGAAAAAAAUUAGAGGUUCUAGAAGACCCCUUAUCAUACUAUACACCAGAAGCAAUUGAAGAUAAAACAUUGAGAAUUUCUUGCAACACUGCAACAGGUAAAGAUUUCUUAGACUGACACUAAAGGCACUGUAGUUAAUUUUGUGUUAACUUGACUGGACUAUGGGGUGCAUAUAUUUGAUAUAUUUCCUAUUGGUUUUGUUUUUCUUGAGAAUCCUCAGUAAUACGGGCACUAAUUAUAAAAGAAAAUAAAACUGCCAU
rnacentral:lncRNA from 1 species